GGAAAUUUUCUACCAGUCACUAUCUUAGAAACUUUCCUACCAUUUUCAGGACAAAGAGUCGUCGUCUUGUCAAAAUUUCCAUUUUUAAGCAUUAUCAUCCAAUAAUACCAUGGGUCACCAGAAUCAUUCACUUCACAAAGUGAACCAAAUACCAUGGGUCACCAGAAUCAUUCACUUCACAAAGUGAACCAAGGUACCGCUCCUUUUCCACAGCAUAAAGAUCAGGAUUCAUGUCAGCUUUAUAACUCCCAUCUGGAAUUUUAUCUCCAACUCCUAAUCUAUUGUC
rnacentral:lncRNA from 1 species